AUGAACGCUGACGGAAUGCUUAACACAUGCAAGUCUACUUGAACUUCUGUUUGGGUGGUGGACGAGGGAGUUAGCGCGUGAAGAACUUGCCUCACGGUUAGGGACAACAUUUGGAAACGAAUGCUACUGCCUGAUAUUAUGAUUUUAUGGCAGCCUAUGAUUAUGAAAGCUAUAUGCGCUGUGGGAGAGCUUUGCGUCCCAUUAGCUAGGUGGAAAGGAAACGGCUCACCUUGGCCAUGAUGGGUAGCCGGCCUGAGCAGGGUGAACGGACACAAGGGGACUGAGACACGGGCCUUACUCCUACGGGAGGCAGCAGCGGGGAAUAUCUGCACAAUGGACCAAAAGUCUGAUCCUUCUGAUUCUGUGUGCACAAUGACGAUUUUCGGACUGCAAAGUGCUUUCAAUUGGUAAGAAAAAAAUGACGGCACCAACAGAAGAAGAGACGGCUAAAUACUUGCCAGCAGCCGCGGUAAUACUAUAUGUCACAAGCGUUAUCCGGAUUUAUUGGGCGUAGAGCGCGUCUAAGUGGUUGUGUGAGUCUGAUGUGAAAAUGCAGGUCUCAACUCUGUAUUGCGUUGGAAACUGCAUGACUGGAGUGCUGGAGAGGUAAGUGGAAAUACAAGUGUAGAGGUGAAAUUCGUAGAUAUUAGUAGGAACGCCGAUGGCGAAGCCAGCUUACUGGACAGAUACUGACGUUGAAGCGCGAAAGCGUGGGUAGCAAACAGGAUUAGAUACCCUGGUAGUCCACGCCGUAAACGAUGAUUACUAGGUGUUGGGGGUCGAACCUCAUCGCUCAAGCUAACGCGAUAAGUAAUACUCCUGGGGAGUAGGUAGGCAAGUAUGAAACUCAUAGGAAUAGACGGGGAGGCGCACAACCGGUGGAGCAUGUGGUUUAAUUAGUCGCAGCGCGAGGAACCUCACCAGCGUGUGACGUCUUAGGAAUGAGACAGCGAUGUUUCAGUGUUCCUUUGGGGACAGGUAAAGCCAGGUGGUGCAUGGCUUUGUUCAGUUGGUUUCGUGAGAUGUUGGGUUAAGUCCCGCAACGAGCGCAACCCCUUUCGUAUGUUCCCAUCAUUAAGUUGGGGACUCAUGGGAUACUGCCUGGGAUGAACAGGAGGAAGGUGGGGAUGACGUCAAGUCAUCAUGCCCCUUAUGCGCUGGGCUACACACGUGCUACAAUGGGUAGUACAGAGAGUAGCAAAGCCGCGAGGUGGAGCUAAUCUCAGAAAACUAUUCUCAGUUCGGAUUGUAGUCUGCAACUCGAGUACAUGAAGUUGGAAUCGCUAGUAAUCGCGAAUCAGCAAUGUCGCGGUGAAUACGUUCUCGGGUCUUGUACACACCGCCCGUCACACCACGAGAUUUGGUUGCACCUGAAGUAGCAGGCCCUAACCGUAAGGAGGGAUGCUCCGAGGGUGUGA
rnacentral:rRNA from 1 species